GAUGAACGCUAGCGGUAUGCCUAACACAUGCAAGUCGAACGAGCUCUUCGGAGCUAGUGGCGGACGGGUGAGUAACGCGUGAGAAUCUGCCUUCAGGAUGGGGACAACGGUUGGAAACGAUUGCUAAAACCCAAUGUGCCGCAAGGUGAAAUAUUAAUAGCCUGGAGAGGAGCUCGCGUCCGAUUAGUUAGUUGGUGGGGUAAAGGCCUACCAAGGCAGCGAUCGGUAGCUGGUCUGAGAGGAUGAGCAGCCACACUGGGACUGAGACACGGCCCAGACUCCUACGGGAGGCAGCAGUGGGGAAUUUUCCGCAAUGGGCGAAAGCCUGACGGAGCAAUACCGCGUGAGGGAGGAAGGUUUUUGGAUUGUAAACCUCUUUUGUUAAGGAAGAAGAAAGUGACGGUACUUAACGAAUAAGCAUCGGCUAACUCCGUGCCAGCAGCCGCCGUAA
rnacentral:rRNA from 1 species